rnacentral:siRNA from 1 species
UUGAAGAUUUUGAGGUGUA